CAGAGAAGGAAUUAUUGAAAAGUAUCAGUUUAGUGAGAUUUGCAGAAGCACACAAGGCUGGAGGAAUUUCGCCUGAUAAUGAGUUAGAAGACACGUCCAGCCACUCCAGUGGAGAGUUCUGUCCAAGGUUCACCGGUCCAGAUAUUCCAGUGACGUAAUGUUGCCAAUCUCAGGGGGAAUCUUUCCUUCGAACUUGUUCUUGUACAAGAAAAGCGUAUGAAGUUUUUUCAACUUGCCCAAUUGUGGUGGAAUCUGUCCACUGAGACUACCCACAGCCAAGUCUAGAUACUGAAGAUUGGUGAGGUUGCCAAACUCUGAAGGGAUCUCACCUUCAAACUCAUUGUACCCAAGAAUUAGUGUCUCUAGAGAAGCAAGUUCUCCAAGUUCUCCUGGAAUCUUCCCUGUAAAGUUAUUCCCUGAAAGCCCAAGAAAUUUGAGCUUCUGUAAAUUCUUGAAACUACUGGGGAUUGAACCUUCGAAGUAGCCCCCACGAAAAUCAAGGCUCUCGAGCAACGUUGCAUUUCCAAGAUCCUCAGGAAGAAAACCCAAAAAAUUAUUAUUUGACGCGUUAACUAGUCUCAAUCCUGUGGCACUCCCAAGUCCCGUGGGAAAGCUGCCAGUGAAGUAGUUCUGGCUCACAUCAAAGCUCUUCAAGGAAGUGAGAUUGGACAGUGAUUUUGGCAAUGAAGAAGCGAAAUCGUUGCAACUUAUGCUGAAAAAAGAUAGACUUGAAAGCGCCUGAAUGUGGUCCGAAACACGACCACUAAGGUUCAUGUUGGAGAGGUCAAGUCUCUCUACGAAGCCUUUAGAGUUGCACAAUACCCCACUCCAGCUACAGUGGCUUGACCAUGAACCAUUACGGGUCAGAUUGGUGGGUGCUUGCCAAUCCUUCAGAUUCUUCAUUGGAUCAACGAGACUGGAUUUGAAUGUGAGAAGUGCUGACAAUUCAUCACUAAUUAAUGCAGAUUGAGCUCCCUCAGCAAAAACAAGAGAGAAGCCAAUGAAACAGUGGAAUAACAAGUGGGGCUGCAUUUUAAGAGGGCCUUCGUUUUCCUGUGAGUUGGUUCCACUUAAAGGUAUCGCAUUUUGCAGAGCAGUGAACUGCGGAAGAAGAUGGAAGGCGGAGAGAAAUAUAAUUAGAAGCUCUGAGAGACAAAUUAGUUUAUAGUUAAGGCAAUGAUAGACUAGUUUAUUGGAUCGACGUGGGUACUUGGGAUCCGGACCUGCUGAUCAUGUGUGACUGAUGACUGUCAAUCUUUGGACUCAUUGGAAAUAUCCCCGACAUCAUAACAUGUGCAGAAUGUGUUCCAGAGCUGAUUGUCCUUAUAAUAAGGUCAACACAAUUGAGCCAUCCAUACUGAUCUUAAAUUUUAGUCCCUUGUUGGCCCAUAAUGUUUUUUAAGGCUUUGUUAUCAAAGUUACAUGGAUUGUUCACGUA